CCUACGGGAGGCAGCAGUAGGGAAUCUUCCACAAUGGGCGAAAGCCUGAUGGAGCAACGCCGCGUGGGUGAAGAAGGUCUUCGGAUCGUAAAACCCUGUUGUUAGAGAAGAAAGUGCGUGAGAGUAACUGUUCACGUUUCGACGGUAUCUAACCAGAAAGCCACGGCUAACUACGUGCCAGCAGCCUCGGUAAUACGUAGGUGGCAAGCGUUAUCCGGAUUUAUUGGGCGUAAAGGGAACGCAGGCGGUCUUUUAAGUCUGAUGUGAAAGCCUUCGGCUUAACCGGAGUAGUGCAUUGGAAACUGGGAGACUAGAGUGCGGAAGAGGAAGGUGGAACUCCAGGUGUAGCGGUGAAAUGCGUAGAUAUAAGUAAGAAGACCAGUGGCGAAAGCGGCUCUCUGGUCUGUAACUGACGCUGAGGUUCGAAAGCGUGGGUAGCAAACAGGAUUAGAUACCCCGGUAGUC
rnacentral:rRNA from 1 species